ACCUGGGUGGCUCAGUCGGUUGAGCGUCUGACUUUGGCUCAGGUCAUGAUCUCACCGCUCGUGGGUUGGAGCCCCCCAUCAGGCU
rfam:Felis catus isolate Cinnamon breed Abyssinian chromosome B3, whole genome shotgun sequence.